GGUUCAUUCAAAUUUCUGCCCUAUCAACUUUCGAUGGUAAGGUAUUGGCUUACCAUGGUUUCAACGGGUAACGGGGAAUUAGGGUUCGAUUCCGGAGAGGGAGCCUGAGAAACGGCUACCACAUCCAAGGAAGGCAGCAGGCGCGCAAAUUACCCAAUCCCGACCGGGGAGGUAGUGACAAUAAAUACUGAUACAGGGCUCUUUUGAGUCUUGUAAUUGGAAUGAGUACAAUUUAAAUCCCUUAACGAGGAACAAUUGGAGGGCAAGUCUGGUGCCAGCAGCCGCGGUAAUUCCAGCUCCAAUAGCGUAUAUUAAAGUUGUUGCAGUUAAAAAGCUCGUAGUUG
rnacentral:rRNA from 1 species